GCAGGUGCCUGUCCACACCUCUUCCUCACUAUCCUUCCUUGGAUGAUCCUGGUGUGUAGUGGCUGCAGCCUGCCGUGGCGGAGCAGUGUGGGCAUUUUGGCGUGACUGCUUGCCGCUAACGUGCUUCACUGUUAUUCAAACGUAAUGAGCUCUGCCAGUGCGCAGUCGGUGCUGUGUGAGCACUGGUAACGCUGGUGUUUUUGUGGGUGUGUGCAGCUGACUAUUGGUAUGGAGGGACUGCUUGACCCGCUCGGGGCCCCGGCGUGGUCGCUUCUUGUUUCCCUUGUUUCCCUCGGCGUUGUCCGCCUAUCUUUAACAACUGUGCGUGUGGCUCUCAGCUGACUGACAUGUUGAUCGCUCCCUUGCAGCAAAGCAAAGCUCCAGACCAACUUCUCCCUCCUAUCGUCGGGGAGGCUGUGCAGGUGCUCGCUGAGGCUGUAGAGGUACGUGGCUUAGCACUGGCCACCACUCCUGUCAUGAAGUGACUGUUGCAUGUCAUUGCAGCCCCGAACCAGUAGAGGGCUCUGGUUCCACUUGCCAUUAAGGGGGAUUAUGUAAAGUCUUAAGCAGAAUGUUAUGGCAGUAACCAAAAGAAGUUGUAUCCCCAUGUUGCUCAUGUUAUAAUGUGGUUAUGGCCGUUACUACAUUAAAGCCAGCUCAACUGAAGACAAGUGUCGUAUCUGAUGACGUGUACCCUAAGAUACCACAUAUGGCGACGAGUCUGCAGCAAGACGACGAGAGCCGUGCAAGUUUAGUGCUGGGGACCCAGGCAGCAGUCCACUCCCCUGGUGGUGGGUUUCCUUCGCACCCCCAAUUUUGUUUGCUGUGUCACGGGUAGUUUUCUUUUGUUGUGAAUUCCCUUGCCUUGGUUUGAUCCCUGCUGCCAGCCCUGUCUUCAACCCCUUUUUGGUUCGUCUUUCUGUGCCAUUAAUUCUUGGGUUACGCCCUGGUGGCUGACAUUUUUAGCUAAUUACCUUUUUUUGUUUCUUUUUCUCAUAUUUUGUCUAAUAAAUUAUUUUUAAUUGAA